CUUAUCAUUUUCAGCUUAAUUAAAAUGUAAGCACCCUGGACCUAGAGGAUCAGCACAGGAACUGAACAGACAUCUCCAAGAUGAAUUUCACAUAGCUGGAAAGCAAUGUUCAUAUGGAUUUAUGCUUUCUUUUAUGCAUGAGAAAAAACUCAGGUGCUGCUGCUGGAAAAGUUUUUGGGGAAGAGUUCUAGCUGUGAAACACAGAAAUGGUGAUGGAUACAGCAGGGGGCCACUAAAGGUUUACUAGGUUCACUUCAUUUCGUACAAAACCAGAGGCAAAUAUGGAGCAGAAGUCUACACAUAAGCAAAACCCCAAAAUAGCCUCCAGCCCCACAACUUUUCUCCUAGAACUGUUUAAUGCAGGAAAAAGCUGAGUGCACAAAGCCACUCCACUGC